CCUACGGGAGGCAGCAGUGAGGAAUAUUGCGCAAUGGGGGCAACCCUGACGCAGCGACGCCGCGUGAGUGAGGAAGGCCUUCGGGUCGUAAAGCUCUGUCAAGAGGAAAGAAGUGCAUAAUGGUUAAUACCUGUUAUGUUUGACGGUACCUCUAAAGGAAGCACCGGCUAACUCCGUGCCAGCAGCCGCGGUAAUACGGAGGGUGCAAGCGUUGUUCGGAAUCACUGGGCGUAAAGGGCGCGCAGGCGGUAUGGUAAGUCAGAUGUGAAAGCCCACGGCUUAACCGUGGAAGGGCAUUUGAAACUGCCAGACUUGAGUACCAGAGGGGAAAGUGGAAUUCCCGGUGUAGAGGUGAAAUUCGUAGAUAUCGGGAGGAAUACCGGUGGCGAAGGCGACUUUCUGGCUGAGUACUGACGCUGAGGCGCGAAAGCGUGGGGAG
rnacentral:rRNA from 1 species